ACCCUCUCAGGGUUGCACCUGGAGAGUUUCCAGUACUCUAACAAUCUCGACUACAAGAGGGAGAGUCAAGCAGAAGCAUACCCAUUCCAUUCCUUGCUUGGGUAGUGGCUAGUGAGUGGAAAGCAAUCUGCUACAAGU